rnacentral:rRNA from 1 species
AGAGUGAACGCUGGCGGCAGGCCUAACACAUGCAAGUCGAACGGCAGCACAGUAAGAGCUUGCUCUUAUGGGUGGCGAGUGGCGGACGGGUGAGGAAUACAUCGGAAUCUGCCUAUUUGUGGGGGAUAACGUAGGGAAACUUACGCUAAUACCGCAUACGACCUACGGGUGAAAGCGGAGGACCUUCGGGCUUCGCGCAGAUAGAUGAGCCGAUGUCGGAUUAGCUAGUUGGUGGGGUAAAGGCCCACCAAGGCGACGAUCCGUAGCUGGUCUGAGAGGAUGAUCAGCCAACACUAGGAACUGAGACACGGUCCAAGACCUCCGUACGGGAGCGAGCAAGGUGGGGGAAAUAGUUAGGACAAAGUGGGACGCAAAGCCUAGGACUCCAACGCCGAAUGGCCGCGUUGGAA